AUUUGACGUAGAAGAGUAAUAUACAUUUUUCAAUUUUUGAACUGAAAAGGGGAAAGACAAAUUGUUUCAUAAUGAUUCAUCAAAGAACAAACCAGAGAGAGUGAUCAUUUGGAGUAAGUCAUUAUCAGUGUUAGAGUCUAAUCAGAUAGAGAGAGAAGAGGGAACUGCCUCUAAAAUGAGUCUUACUGGGGAGAGGGAGGUUGAGGGCUCUGCCUCUAAAAUCAGAAUCUUUUGUGAAAAUGACACCACAGCUAAGAGGGUAAAACAGCAGAAGAGACCAGCCUCCCCUGUACCCAGUUGUGUGUCCAUGAAGAGUGACCGGUCUAUGGAUCAACCUUUGACAUUCAAAACAGGAGAU